rnacentral:rRNA from 1 species
ACACUCCUGCGGGAGGCAGCAGUGGGGAAUAUUGGACAAUGGGCGCAAGCCUGAUCCAGCCAUGCCGCGUGAGUGAUGAUGGCCCUAGGGUUGUAAAGCUCUUUCACCGGUGAAGAUAAUGACGGUAACCGGAGAAGAAGCCCCGGCUAACUUCGUGCCAGCAGCCGCGGUAAUACGAAGGGGGCUAGCGUUGUUCGGAUUUACUGGGCGUAAAGCGCACGUAGGCGGACUAUUAAGUCAGGGGUGAAAUCCCGGGGCUCAACCCCGGAACUGCCUUUGAUACUGGUAGUCUUGAGUUCGAGAGAGGUGAGUGGAAUUCCGAGUGUAGAGGUGAAAUUCGUAGAUAUUCGGAGGAACACCAGUGGCGAAGGCGGCUCACUGGCUCGAUACUGACGCUGAGGUGCGAAAGCGUGGGGAGCAAACAGGAUUAGAUACCCUAGUAGUCCC